GGGUCAGUAGGUUGGUCGUGCCACCGGUACGUACUGGUCUCACUGAUUCCUCCUUCCUGAAGAACCGUAAUGCCAUUAAUUUGGUGCUGCGGGGAAACAGGACUGUUACUUUGAAAAAAUUAGAGUGUUUAAAGCAAGCUAACGCUAGAAUACAUUAGCAUGGAAUAAUGGAAUAGGACGAUCGAUCCUAUUUUGUUGGUUUCUAGGAUUGACGUA
rnacentral:rRNA from 1 species